GACCAGCCCUCGCUCCAGGUGCACUUCCAAAAUUGGAGUAGAUUCUGUUUCAAGAAAGCAAUUAUUGAAUGCUUUUACAACAGUGAUACCUGGAAAGUGGACAUUAUCAGCUGAAAUAUGUAGUGUGAUAUUUGCAACAUAAGGUUGUAAAUAUUGAACGGAUGCUGUUAAAAAUAUAAGGUGAAGAUACUGUUCUUCAGGAAGAAACAGCACUGGAUGAGAAUUGGAAAAGGUCCCAUGCUUUUCAUUUGCCUUCAAUAAAGAGAAACAUUAACCAUGGCACUGCAGGAACAUAAGUAGGAACUGUUUUAUGCAAUCCAGAGAGAGAGAGACAACAACCCUGGAUUUUUGAUGACCCGGAAGGUCUCACCUUUUCAAUGCAAGUGCCACCCAACCAGAAGGAAAUGUAUUUUUAUUUUGGGAUAAAUACUCUGAUGAAGUGGAUGACAUUAAUGAAAGUUUCACAGGAUCUUAAAAGAUUUUUUAUUGUU